rnacentral:antisense_RNA from 1 species
CUUGAUCGAGCCGAGCCACAGUGGACGGUGCUCCGGCCGGCCGCGCCCAUAUGUCGCGAGCAACGCCUGCGCCUC